rnacentral:rRNA from 1 species
UAGGGAAUCUUCCGCAAUGGGCGAAAGCUUGACGGAGCAACGCCGCGUGAGUGAUGAAGGUCUUCGGAUCGUAAAACUCUGUUAUUAGGGAAGAACAAAUGUGUAAGUAACUAUGCACGUCUUGACGGUACCUAAUCAGAAAGCCACGGCUAACUACGUGCCAGCAGCCGCGGUAAUACGUAGGUGGCAAGCGUUAUCCGGAAUUAUUGGGCGUAAAGCGCGCGUAGGCGGUUUUUUAAGUCUGAUGUGAAAGCCCCCGGCUCAACCGGGGAGGGUCAUUGGAAACUGGUUGACUUGAGUGCAGAAGAGGAGAGUGGAAUUCCAUGUGUAGCGGUGAAAUGCGUAGAUAUAUGGACGAACACCAGUGGCGAAGGCGACUCUCUGGUCUGUAACUGACGCUGAGGUUCGAAAGCGUGGGGAGCGAACAGG